rnacentral:rRNA from 1 species
GUGGGGAAUAUUGGACAAUGGGGGGAACCCUGAUCCAGCCAUGCCGCGUGUGUGAAGAAGGCCUUUUGGUUGUAAAGCACUUUAAGCGAGGAGGAGGCUACCGAGAUUAAUACUCUUGGAUAGUGGACGUUACUCGCAGAAUAAGCACCGGCUAACUCUGUGCCAGCAGCCGCGGUAAUACAGAGGGUGCAAGCGUUAAUCGGAUUUACUGGGCGUAAAGCGCGCGUAGGUGGCCAAUUAAGUCAAAUGUGAAAGCCCCGAGCUUAACUUGGGAAUUGCAUUCGAUACUGGUUGGCUAGAGUAUGGGAGAGGAUGGUAGAAUUCCAGGUGUAGCGGUGAAAUGCGUAGAGAUCUGGAGGAAUACCGAUGGCGAAGGCAGCCAUCUGGCCUAAUACUGACACUGAGGUGCGAAAGCAUGGGGAGCAAACAGGAUUAGAAACCCGGGUAGUCC